UAUUAUAGCUCCAUUUCUGGGUGGUAGGCGGAAAUAGACACGCGUCGUCCAGGGAGAUCAUCAUCAUUAGGAAGCUGUCAGCAAAUCAUGAAGCUAACAUAUACAAACUGAUAACACAUUUGACGCAAUUAAAAUCAAAUUAGCUUUAAUACUCGUUCAUGUUAAUUUUCGAGAACACUGGGCUUUUGUUUGUGCUGAUGUUUAUGUGGUGACGGGUGGAGCUGCCCGGGCGGAGAUAGCAGGCUCAGGCGGGGCGGGCGGUGUUAGUUCUCGGGGCACCAGACGACUGCAGUGGGCUCGCUCAGUGUUUCUAUACAGGUUCCGGGGCGCUGCUGCCAGCCGCUGUGCCUCCGUAACGUGACGCUCCUCAGUCGGUCAGACACACACCGAGUGAUGCGAGAGCGGCCAGCGCCACCAUCCCUCACUCAUCCGAACAGGAGGUGACUCGUUCGGCGCAUGAAAUUCCUCAGGUCAUCGCCUGGAGCAAAUAAACAAGCUGCUCGUCCUACCUACGGAUAUCACGUCAUCCUCCCAAGAGAGAGAGAGCAACAGGGACUGUAUCAUGCUGACACUUUUUGAUGCAUCACGAUGUGGACUUGGACGACUCUGCAUCGAUGCAGUGACGGAACAUAUUCGAUUCAUGUUCAGGACAGACUCUCGUUAAAUGUCUGUCUCCUGUCUGAGUGUCCUCCCUCCACUCUCCCGCUGACCUGCACUCAC